rnacentral:rRNA from 1 species
UACGAAGGGGGCUAGCGUUGCUCGGAAUCACUGGGCGUAAAGGGUGCGUAGGCGGGGUUUUAAGUCCGGGGUGAAAUCCUGGAGCUCAACUCCAGAACUGCCUUUGAUACUGAAGAUCUUGAGUCCGGGAGAGGUGAGUGGAACUGCGAGUGUAGAGGUGAAAUUCGUAGAUAUUCGCAAGAACACCAGUGGCGAAGGCGGCUCACUGGCCCGGUACUGACGCUGAGGCACGAAAGCGUGGGGAGCAAACAGG